rnacentral:tRNA from 1 species
UGUACCUUUAGCUCAGUUGGUUAGAGCAGACGGCUCAUAACCGUCCGGUCGUAGGUUCGAGUCCUAUCAGGUAAAU